UACGUAGGGGGCAAGCGUUGUCCGGAAUCAUUGGGCGUAAAGAGCGUGUAGGCGGCCCGGUAAGUCCGCUGUGAAAGUCCAGGGCUCAACCCUGGGAUGCCGGUGGAUACUGUCGGGCUCGAGUCCGGAAGAGGAGUGUGGAAUUCCUGGUGUAGCGGUGAAAUGCGCAGAUAUCAGGAGGAACACCAAUGGCGAAGGCAGCACUCUGGGACGUGACUGACGGCUGAGACGCGAAAGCGUGGGGAGCGAACAGG
rnacentral:rRNA from 1 species